CGAACGCUGGCGGCGUGCCUCAUACAUGCAAGUUGAGCGCUGAAGGUUGGUACUUGUACCAACUGGAUGAGCAGCGAACGGGUGAGUAACGCGUGGGGAAUCUGCCUUUGAGCGGGGGACAACAUUUGGAAACGAAUGCUAAUACCGCAUAAAAACUUUAAACACAAGUUUUAAGUUUGAAAGAUGCAAUUGCAUCACUCAAAGAUGAUCCCGCGUUGUAUUAGCUAGUUGGUGAGGUAAAGGCUCACCAAGGCGAUGAUACAUAGCCGACCUGAGAGGGUGAUCGGCCACAGUGGGACUGAGACACGGCCCAAACUCCUACGGGAGGCAGCAGUAGGGAAUCUUCGGCAAUGGACGAAAGUCUGACCGAGCAACGCCGCGUGAGUGAAGAAGGGUUUCGGAUCGUAAAACUCUGUUGGUAGAGAAGAACGUUGGUGAGAGUGGAAAGCUCAUCAAGUGACGGUAACUACCCAGAAAGGGACGGCUAACUACGUG
rnacentral:rRNA from 1 species